AGCGGUGGAGCAUGUGGUUCAAUUCGACGCAACGCGAAGAACCUUACCCAGGCUUGAACAGCGAGUGACCACUUCCGAAAGGGAGCUUCCGCAAGGACACUCGUAGAGGUGCUGCAUGGCUGUCGUCAGCUCGUGUCGUGAGAUGUUGGGUUAAGUCCCGCAACGAGCGCAACCCUUGUCUACUGUUGCCAUCAGGUUAUGCUGGGCACUCUGUAGAGACUGCCGGUGAUAAACCGGAGGAAGGUGGGGAUGACGUCAAGUCAGCAUGGCCUUUAUGUCUGGGGCUACACACGUGCUACAAUGGCAGAUACAAACCGUCGCGAGACCGCAAGGUGGAGUUAAUCGGAGAAAGUCUGUCUCAGUUCGGAUCGUAGGCUGCAGCUCGCCUGCGUGAAGUUGGAAUCGCUAGUAAUCGCGGAUCAGCACGCCGCGGUGAUACGUUCCCGGGCAUUGUACACACCGCCCGUC
rnacentral:rRNA from 1 species